rnacentral:rRNA from 1 species
GACGAACGCUGGCGGCGUGCCUACUACAUGCAAGUAGGACGCAGUUGCGAACGGGUGAGUAACGCGUAGGUAACUACCUAUUAGAGGGGGAUAACUAUUGGAAACGAUAGCUAAUACCGCAUACUAGUAGAUGGACCUGCGUUGUAUUAGCUAGUAGGUAGGGGAAUGGCCUACCUAGGCAACGAUACAUCGCCGACCUGUGAGGGGGAUUGGCCCCACUGGGACGGAGAAACGGCCCAGACUCCUACGGGAGGCAACGGGAGGGAAUCUACGGCAAUGGGGCGACCCCUGACCGAGCAACGCCGCGUGAGUGAAGAAGGUUUUCGGAUCGUAAAGCUCUGUUGUUAAGGAAGCGGUACUUAACCAGAAAGGGACGGCUAACUACGUGCCAGCAGCCGCGGUAAUUC